rnacentral:miRNA from 1 species
AUUUAUGUAUUGUGUUUUGUCGGA